rnacentral:tRNA from 1 species
GCCCGAGUGGCUCAGUGGUAAAGCGUCUCACUAGUAAUGAGAAGAUCGUCAGUUCGAUUCUGGCCUUGGGCA